rnacentral:lncRNA from 1 species
UUUGUAAUGAAGAAGCACUUAAAUACUCAUCUGCUAGGCAAACAUGGAGUUGGCACCCCAAAAGAAAGGUAAUUUCCAUUUUUUAAUUUAACAAAUAUAAUUAAAUUAUUAUUUUAGGCUUUCUUUAUCAACAUGAUUUUUUAGAAUUUUUUAUCAAGUCAGUCCAUUUUAUUUUUCAUUGUGGUAUUUUGUUGUUGAAUAUUGUUUUUUAUGUCAUCUUCCCAGAAAAAUAUAACAGUGUACAUUAAUUUUUUUUUUUAUUAAAUUGCAGUCUGGAAAUAUUUGAAGUGUUUGUGGGACUUUGAAACAAUUUUCAAGCACUGAAUAGUUAAAUUGUGGGAAAUCAUCCUUUGUAGCCACUUUUGCAUGUGCUAAACUAAAUAUGUGAAACCAAACUUUGUAUUUUUAACUUUGGAGUUUUAAAAUAACAUUUUUGAAUUCUUACUGUAGUCUUAAAUAUUGCUGAUAUUAAAAAAGAAAUACAUCUUGUAACUUACCAAAAUAAUACUACAGUUGCCAUGUCAUGAAAAAUAACACUACAAUUAUUAUGUCAUCAACUGCCAGAUUUUCUGUCUCUUGGUACUAUAUCAUAAUUAGCUUCAUCACAUAGACUUAAUUAUAUUAGGUGAACUGAAAUAGAGCAGUUUCAGUUACCAGGUGAACUGGCUACUUUUGAAAUUUUUAAGCCUUUAAAAUGUGCACCUCACUCAGGUGUAGCAUGAGCACUGCCAUUUCCCUUGUAUAUAGUGUAGAUUGCCAGCUUCUUUUCAGUGCCCCAAGAUGAUAUCCAAAUGCCCCAGACACUCCUGGAAACCUUAGUUUCUAGUACUAUAUUAAAAUGUCCAUAAUGAUGCAAAUUCUUCUUGUACUCUGAAGAGUGAAGCCUCUUCAGCCUUUUUUGUAUGGGUUAAAUAGCCCUUUUAAAAAAUGUAAAAUGCUCCUUUGGUAUUUUGUGUGUUUUUGAGGAGUUUGACUUGACUUUUCUGCAGAAGAGGUUGUUGUUUUUUUUUUGUUGUUUGUUUGUUUGUUUGUUGUACCAGGGAUUGAACCUUGGGGCACUUGAUCACUGAGCCACAUCUCCGGCCCUAUUUUGUAUUUUAUUUAGAGACAGGGUCUCACUGAGUUGCUUAACAACUCUCUUUUGCUGAGGCUGGCUUUGAACUUGCAGUCCUCCUGCCUUAGUCCCCUGAGCCACUGGGAUUACAGGUGUGCACCAUCUACUCUAUAUAUUAUACAUUUGAACCCAAACAUACCAUUUUGCUUUUUAUUUAGGAAUUUUAAAAAAUUGAAAUAUUUGUUCAUAGUGUACCAUAUCCAGAUCCAAACUGCAUAUGAGUAAUUCAUCUACCCAUAUAUGUACAUUUAUACACAUGUACCUACACAUAUAUAUGCUAUCAAUAUUUAGUUAUCUUUCAAACACCUUAAAACAAUAUUUUGACAUUGUUUUCAAUCAGAUAUUCGCCAUUGUUUUUUCUGUUUAUUUUUUUCCUAUGUAUUUCAGGCUUCUUUCACUUAUUUUAGUUCUAAAUAUAUAAAAGGAGACCAAAAAGCUAGAAAAGGUAUGCUAGUUAACUUUCUAUUACCAUGACCAAAUACCUGACAUAGUCAACUUAAAAGGAAGAAAUGUAUAUUUUGAAUCAGGGUUUCAGAAAUUUUGACCAUUGGUGGAUGCUGAGCCUGAUUGCUUUGGGCCUAUGGUAUCACAGUGUAUCAUAGGGGGAGUGUGGUAGAGGAGGCUGUUCACCUCAUGAUGUCUGGGAAGCAAAAAACAGACAGGAAGAAACCAGGGUCCUUAGUUUCCCCCUUUAGGAGCACAUCCUUAGUCACUUGAUUUCCUUCCACUAGGCCUCAACUCUUAAAAUUUCUAAUGUCUUUCAGUAGUGCCACAGACUGGUGGUGCCUUCAAUACAUGGUCCUUUGGAAGCCAUUCCACUUUCAAACCACAGCAGAAAGAUUGAAUGGCUUUCUCCUCUUGGAGAUACGGUGAGCUUUUAUGAUGAGACGUGACACUAUUUUUUUUUUUUUUUUGCCCUAAAAUCAGGAAACAAAUCUAAGAUUGGAAAAUACACCUACAUUCUGGAUUAUUACUUUUUAAUAUUCCAAGUGGCAAUAUUUAUCUAAACCAGAUAUUUUUGAAUGUUUAUCCUACUGAAGAGGCUUGUUUUUCCUAACUUCCACUGAAAUGUAAUUUUAUAAUCUGCAACUGUAGCUAGAGGAGACUAUCGUUUUAGUUCUGUAAUCAGCCCGAGGAAUGCCAAAAGGCUUCUUUUUGUUUUAUUUCCAUGGUUUUAGGAAGCAAGGAAAUUCUGCCAGCAUGCUGAACCUCCAGUUUGGGGCAUAACUGUUCUCUCAAUUAAAUUAAAUAUUUUCCUUACCUAUUUGAAACAUUAAUGCUUUGACUGUAAUUUUAAAACUUGCUAUAUUUUUAAAUUCUCCAAGACAGUGUAAUCAGUUUACUUUUUACGUUUUGAAUUUGAUUCUUUCCUCUAAUGCAUUGCAUAUUAGGGCAAAUAGUAAUAGAAGUUAGUUAAAUAGACUGUGACAAUUAAAUUAAUAAUGCAUUUUGUUUGCAAGUAUUUAGGCCUUGUAGUUUGACUGAUAUAUGCAAAAUAUUAUUUAUUAAAAAUUAAUUUAUAUACUUUAAAAUUUGAUGAACUUAUACAUUUUGUCAGCAUGAUUAUCACUGGAAAAAUAUUACUAAAUAAUUUCAAAAAUUUUUGACACUUCAUGAACACUUGAAGUUAUGGCUUCUGUAAGAACAUAGUUCUUUUUUAAAAGAAUUUAUUUAUUUUAAUUAGGUAUAUAGGACAGCAGAAUGCAUUUUGAUUCAUUGUACAUAGUUGCAGCACAACUUUUCAUUUCUCUGUACAUGAUGUAGCGUUGUACCAUAUGUGCAAUCAUAUAUGUACCUAGGGUCCUUAAAUUAGCACUAACUUUUUUAUGGUAGUAUAUAUUACAGUAUUUCUGAGGUCUUUCACACUUAAAAACAAACAACUAAUUGUUAACCAUCCAUUUGUUGUUCUAAAAUAAUAAAUUCUAAUUUAUUGGCAUGUUCAUUCCAGUGUUUCCUAUUUCCAAUGAAUAAUUCUCUCUGUAUUGAAAGUUAGCCAAAUAUCUUUAUAACUCUUUGAAUUCAUUCAUAGUAAUCUAAGAACACCACAAUGGAGCAGCCAUUGCAAAUGCAUCUCCUGUGAGUGCCAGGUGUCUAUGACUGUGGAACUGUUUGGCAUGUACAGUUCAGUGCCUGGGAUCAGCUGGGCUUUGAAUGCCUGCGUAAAUAGGAGGGAAGGUUUGCUCAGAAUCCCCCAUUUGACAUAUUAGUUUUUGGUGUGCACGCGCGUGUGUGUGCGUGUGUGUGUGUGUGUGUGUAUGUAUGAUCAAGAAAGGUCUGUGUAGGUAAUGCUCUGGAAGGCUAAUGAACGCAUGGCUUUCACAUUAGAAAGUGUCUUUUGAAAUAUAAGUAUUUAACAGUUAUGUAGCCGAAAGAAAUGUAUCUGUGCCUUUACCAGUGAGUAUCUACAUCUGAACCUCAGUAUCUUUUCUGUGGAGCCAUAUUUGGAAGUGUCUGUUAAAGUCUUUGCUUGCAGUUAGUCAUUUACUGUCAGCACAGCUGUGGGGUGUGUGCAGGCUCUGGGCUAGUUAGUAUUUCUAUAGAAUUUCCUUCAAGGUCAUUCAAAUUGGGAGUCCUCCAACUUGUGCUGGACCCUCCUCUUUUCUCAGAUGUUAGGGAUUUAGUGUUAGCUGGCCUCUCCUCUUUUCUCAGAUGUUGGGGAUUUAGUGUUAGCUGGCCUCUCCUCUUUUCUCAGAUGUUAGGGAUUCAGUGUUAGCUGUCUUCCUUUCAACUGCAUCUUUGAUAACUGUUGGUAAAUAAAACCAUUACCCCCAUUGGUUUUCACUGUGGGCAGGCAAGACAGGCAGCCCUGAUGGUUGUUCCAUUGUCCUUUAAGGCACUAAUAUGAGACAGGAAUUACAUAGGUUUUUGAAAGUCAUUUCACUUCCUUCUCUUUUUUUGUCUGGAAAAGUUUGUAUGUUAAAAUUAUAUAGAAUUGGGUCAAAUGGUGGUUCUAUUCCCAGAUUACCAAGGAAUCUCCAUAUUGCUUUCCAUAUUGGCUGCACCAAUUUGCAGUGCCACCAGCAAUGUAUGAGUGUACCUUUUUCCCCACAUCCUUGCCAACACUUAUAGGGCAGAGGGGUGGGAGGGAAAGGGAGGGGGAAGAGGAUUAGUAAGCAUGGUGGAAUGUGAUAGACAUCAUCAUCCAAAGUACAUGUAUGAAGACACGAAUUGGUGUCAACAUACUUUAUAUACAGAGAUAUGAAAAAUUGUGCUGUAUACAUGUAAUAAGAAUUGUAAUGUAUUUGCAGUUGUUUAUUUUUUUAAAAAAAUUGAAAAAAAAAACCCAGAAAAAAAAAAUUAUAUAGAAGCAUCAUCCUUGUUUUCUACUUUUCCAGUUUAGAUGUAAGCUUCACACUCUUCACAAAACUUGAAAAUAUCUUGCAGAACACAAACGUUUCUGGGAAAAGCACGCCUGCAUGCACCUACCAUGGUGAUUGGUAAUUCUGUACCAAGGGUACUGGGGUUGUUUAGAAAUAUAGAUUACAUCAUGUGAGUGAAAUAUAUUUUAUAAAAAGCCUGAUGUUAAAUAGAAUAGUAUGCUAAAAUUUUUCUUAUUAGAAGAAAUUCUGUUUAUAUGCUUAAGUCCUAUUAAUAUUAAAUUUUAGUUGUUGCUUCAUUUUAAAGAAACAACUUUGAGUAUGUUCUCUCAUUGUAUAUGGCUUCUUUAAUUAAAGGACGAUUUUCCUGUUUCUUUGGCAUGGUGACUUGUUCUCAUGGGUGUGUUGCCAUUAUAUUCCAUGUGCUGUUUCCAUGCUCUGAUCAUUCUGGAGUGUGCUUGUAUUCCAAGACUUUUUAGGCUCUCUUUCUCUUAUUGACCCAUUACUUACUGGUUGUCUUUUCUCAUUUCUUCCUUCCUAUUCAUGGUUUGCAAUCUUUUUCUUCUUUUUCUUUGUCCCCCAUGAGGGCUAAUUUAGGAAAAAUAAAGUAUUUAUGGACUCCUCUCUGCUUUAAAAAUAUUUACACAAGAAACAGCUCUGUGGACUAAAGUGGAUAAAAAAAAAUGUCCAUUUUUUUUUAUCUUGCCAAGUUUAUUUUCCUAAGUUGGGAGGGUGUUGGAUUUAACUUAAAACUACUUUUGCUGGGGCACAGGACUGCCUUUCUUCCAUCUUCUACCAUAUCUCCAUUUGUGGACAGUUAAAUAUAAAUGAUAUCCUGUGCUCUUAUGACAUGGUUAUUAUGAAAAAGUAAAGAGGUGGCCUUUUGAGAUAAUCACUCUCCAUGGAAAGGUAGAUAGGAGUCACAUCAGUUCAUCCAAAGCCCAGGUUAUGAUUUUUAAAACUUACUUUCUGCAUUUACUAGCUUUAACCAACAAUGUAUUAUAAUAGUUCAUAUUGAGAUAAAUGUAUAAUUUCAAGUACUGUUUUCUUGCUGAGAUUUGUGAAGUAUUUCUAAAUUGCAUUGAUAAUGUGGAUUUUUUUUGGUUGUAGUUACUUUAUGAGCUAUGUCUUACUACUGAAAUGGAUAUUUGGUUUAAUUUCUGCUUUUAAGUUUUCCAGGAGAAAGUUAACAAGUAAGUAUCAGUUGUGUAGAAUAUCAAGAUUGCUUGUGAUUCCACUGCUCAUCUCUGGGGCAGUGGAGAACCCUCCACUUCAGGUCAUCUCCAUUGGGCCCCUCAGCUCUCAGGAAGCAACACGAGCUUUACUCCAGAAUCAAUGCAUAGUCAAAAGCUACACAAAUUAUCUGUAUUCCAUGUUUUAGAUAAUUCACUUUAAUAUUCUGGAAACAUUCCUUUCAUUCACUUCUUAAUCUGCUUUCAGUUCUAUCCUCUCAUUCUUCCUGUUUCCUUCUAUGUGUUGUUUUUGUUUUCUUAAUAUAAUUGACUUUAACAAUUAUACAUUUCGUUAUUAUGACAAUGAGUUAAAUUCAAGAAUAUUUUAAGAAGAAACCACAGUAACUCAUAUUUAUUGAAAAUAUAGUAUUUGGGAUGAUGUUGAUGAAAAUGUGUCAUGUCUUUGUCAUAAGGCUCAGGGAAGUGAUUUCUCUCUGGUCUCUAUUCCAGGAAGUUCUGCUUUUCUGAAACAAUUUGUCAUUUUAGUCUUGGGUAGUAGCGAAUCAUGUAUAUAAUUGAGUUUUCCUCUUUAUGUUUACUGCUGGGAAGCUCAGGGCCAAAAUUGUGAUCCAUCUCUAGCAAGUGGGAAGGACUUCAGGGAAUGUGUUUUACUUACUACUGUUAUUUCCAGUUUCAUCCUUUUUUCCCUUAAGGGAAAGUCCCAUUUUAUGUGAGCGAUAUAUUUUAACAACCUUACAUAAAUCAAAACCACAUAAUUCAAGAGCAGUUUUGCAAUUGGAAUUUUUUAAAAAGUCAAGUCAAUAUUUUUCUGGAAGUGCAUAUAUCUUUAGCAACUUGUUUUUGGGGGCACUUUGUUGAACAUUGUUUAGUCCUGUCAUUAGAUAGUUUUUAAAGUGUCCUAGCCUAUGAAAAUUUUGUGCAGUUCUGUGUAUUGCUUCCAUGUGGUUUCUGAUUCUUAGAAUUUUGAAUAUUGCUUCCUUGUAGAGUUUGGUGUUCAGACACAUUUAUUUAGUCCUCCCCACCCCAGUCAGGGAGGUUUCCCCCCCUUUUGUACCAGGGUCUCUGGCUGUAUCAAAAAUACUGAUUCUUUUAGUGUAUCUCGGUUGUAUUGAUAAAUUAAUGUGUGUUUUGGCUUUAAAAGAAAUGCUUAUGAUAGUAAAUGUGAAAUUUUAAGUGAAAGUAGUAUAUAUAACAGAAGUUAAGAUUUUUUUCCUACCUUUUUUCUGAUAUUUAUCCUUUCAUUUUUAUGUCCACAAAUUUUUAUGUGUUUUCUUCCUAGGCAUUUAAGUAAACAUGCAUAUUAUAUGAUUCAUAUUCUUUAGAACAUACUAGGGUUUUAAAUAUUGUUUUCCGUUAAGAUGUGAACUCUUUUAGUAAAGGGAGCAGUUACUCCUGCCUGAGGGCUGUUAUGGAGUGAUGGUAAAUAAGGACAUGUCAUUCAUCACUGAUUAUUUAUUUUUAAGCAAACUUUAGCAUAUUCAUUACUUUGUUCAAAAUGUAGAUGGGAUGCAGUGCUUGAAGAUGACAUAGCCUUCCUUCUCGUGAACCUUAAUUGUGUUGUUCAUGGAUGGAGGGAUAACACAUACAUAAAGGAAAGGAGAAUGUUAUCAAGAGUUAGAUUCUGAUGCCAGUAAAACAUGGUGCUAUUCCAGGGAGUGGGUGGGAAGGGUGCUUCUUUAGCUGGGGUAUUUAUAAAAGCCCUUUGUAUAGGGCUGUGUUUGAAGUGAAGCAUGGCCUUAGAGCAUUUCAAAAUCCCCGCGAGGCUUGUGGUUUUUUUUGUUGUUGUUGUUUGUUUGUUUGUUUUUUGGCUGGGGGGUGCAUUACUGGGGAUUGAACUCAGGGACACUUGACCACUGAGCCACAUCCCCAGCCCGGUUUUGUAUUUUAUUUGGGGACCGGGUCUCACUGAGUUGCUUAGCACUUGACUUUUACGCGAGAUCCUCCUGCCUCAGCCUCCUAGCUGCUAGGAUUCUAGGUGUGUGCCACCAUGCCAGACUAAGAAUGUGAUUGUUUUUAUCCCCUGUUUUGAGAGCUCAGGGACCUUGAAUACAGCUUGGGCAAAGGGACCUAAGGGAAGAAAUGAGAUCCCAGAGAUGUGUUUGCACUGUUUUAGGAAAUAGAAACCAAUGAGAUGAUUUUCUUGAGGAAGGAUUUUGAGACUCUGAGGAUGACACUUGGAGACUUAGCUGGAAUCAGGCUGAGAGGCCUGACUGUGGCUUUGCCAGUGAUCUUUUACUGUUUGCAUAAAGGAAGCUGGUAUAGUUGAGAACAUGUAGAACUAUGUCUCUGACAGUGUGGAAGAUUAGCUUCAGGGAAAGGUGGUGGGCACGUACACUGUCACUUGUGUGGAGACACCAGUGCUGAGCUCCUCACCUCCCCUGGCUGCUCCCUGGGCUUUUCACCUGCCUGGCGACACAUUCAGUUCCUUUCUUCCUUAAUUCACGUUGCUGACCCACUUGCAAAUAAGCCUUUUAAUCAUCCAUUGUAUUUUGUUGGAAAAAUUCUUUCCUACUCACUUCUCUUAUUUGGUUCCACAGGUUUUGCAAUACAGUUACCCAACAUACCACUUCUCUUGGAACACUUCAAAACAUAUAUUUGUUUUAAGUCCCAUCUGAGGCCUGUCUUCUCUGAGUUCCUUUCUUGUUUAUUCCAACUUUUAUUGAUCUUUUUCAUCAAAUUUCAAUGGAACAUUAGAUGAUACAGAGUUAAUUUAUAUAAAUGUAUAGAAAUAUCUGUAAAUGAAAUAUUAGGUUAGACAUUCUUUUAUCCUUUACACACAUACCUUUAUUAUAGGUAUGUCUCCCUGCCUUAAAAGGAAAUCCAAAGAUUGUAGUAAUAUUGCAUGCAUUAUAAUCAUCUUAUCCAGUACUAGUUCAUAAGUUAUUAGGUCACAGAUAUGUGGUUUAUAUUUGAUAAUCCUUACUAAAAUGACAUCUAUUUUAUUUCAUUUCUUAUUUCAUUCUUACAUAGGAAAAAAGUAAAACUGAACUCUAUAGAGGUACUGAGGUAGAACUUUAGUAGUAUGAAUGUUCCAGUUGCUUUUACAUGUGAUAAUACAUUAAUGUUUAAUGCAACAAAUUAAUUUUUAAUUCAUUUCUUUUUCUGCUACCAUGUAGUCCAGUAGUACUCUCAAAUUUUGAUUUGAGAAUAUCUGCUCUUUUGAAUUUUUAAGAACAUAGGUGUUUUCUCUCAGCUUGUAUCUUGAAUAUUUUUUGUCAUUCUCUCAUUUUAUUUCACUUAAAUUACUUUUAGAACACUGGGGCUUAUACAUCUGGACUCUGACUAAAAUAUGCCCUAAGUGCUUAUCUUCAAUUCCCACUCAGUACCAGAAUUAAAGAGAACAAAGGCCUAUAUGUUCACUGCAGCCUUCAAUUAUGCUUAAUUACCAACUUUGGUACAGUUUCAUUAUAUAUUAACUGACUUUUUUGUGAGAGUUUCUUUAUAUUCAUAAUGUCUUUUGCUUAUAAAAGUCCAAAUUAAUUUUUUUCUGAGGAAUUUUCAGGAAACAGAACUUUUUGGAAGUGAUUUUUGUCAGGUCAUAUUAAAACAAUUUGGUCAUCCAUUCUAAGAGAUAAGAAAUGAGUUUUCUAUUUAUGCUGUAGUACUAUGAUAGACAAAACGAAGGCUUAAUAUAGACUAUUUUCUAAGAUAGUUUUUUCCUGAAUUCUUUGUGGGAUCAUCUGCAUGAUCUAUUGUGAGGUUAGAAGAAAGGGACUGUCUACUCAGUGUGGUGUUUUCUCACAUUUGCACUCACAGGAGAAAGUAAGAUGAUCUUGAAGCUCCACAGGAGACUUCUUUGUCUCAUAAUCACCCUGCAGUUCUGCAGAAUGUCCAUCAUUCAUUUCAGCUGAUCUUUUACUCACUUUCAGUGGUGCUAGGGCUUAGUGGUAGAGCAUUUGCCUAGUACGUGUGAGGCACUCGGUUUGAUCCUCCGCAACAAAAUAAAUAAACUAAAGAUAAUUAGAAAAAAAAAAGAAUCAUUACCCUGAUACUUACAAAGCUAUUAAUAUUUCUCCAUUUGAAUCAUAUAAAAUUGACCUUUAACAGGUUAAAAACAGUCAACUAUUGUUAAUUUCAUGUGAAUCAACUUAAUUUCAUUUUAAAAAUGUUUCUAGCAUAUGAUGUCAAUAUAAAGAUCUGUUUUUCAGGGAAACAUCUAUUUCCAUCCAUUUUAAUCAAAUCAUGGUCUCUUCUUGUUUUAUGAAUGAUGAUUUCUUAGGUACUGCUUAAGGUAGUAAGCUCAAUAUAGGAAAAGGUGGGUCAAGGUGAAAUGAGAAGACAUCUAAGCAGACUCUGCAUGGUAUUUUCACUCACUGUCCUACUGAAAGUCACUUCUCCCCAUUUUUCUUCCUGGGGUCAGAGUGUAUGUUUUUUCAAGGGUCAAUUUUUGUCGCACUCUUUAAAGCUUUCCCUAGAUUAUAUCCCACAUAGUCAAUUCUUUCUUUGUAGAAGGCUGAAGUACCACUUAGCACAUUCUGGUUUGUUUUCUUUUAAAAAGAUAUAUUUCCUGGCUUCAGGCUACUUAGUUCAUUUCUAGAGGGAUAAUCCUCAAUUUUUUUCUCUUGAGCUUUGAGCUUUUGAGAGAGGAGUUGACAGUCAUAAUUAUCAAUGGACUCAGGAUAUUAAAACCUUCAUUGAAAUUUUCGUUCUCAAGACCUACUUUCAUUUAGUGUAAUUCAUGAUCUGUAGUCACAGUUUGAAGUUUUUGGAACUGUAUUAUGUGAUUAAAAUUGUAUGUAACAUGCAUGCUCAACCUCAGUGCAUUGCUCGGAUGGUUGGUAGCUUUCCUGUCUGUGAUACUAAAGAUGCUCUCUUCUCAGUUUGCAGCUGGUGAAGCCACCAUGUAUUAAUGUUUAUAAAAUUUCAAAAAAUCACAUAUACAUAUAUUUAUGUAUAAUAUUUUAAACUUUUAAAACUAAUUGUUUUUAAAUGAUGAAAUUCAAGAAGUUUUCACUAUGGGAAACAGCAAAUUUAACACAACAUGCAUAUAAAAAUUUUUAUUUCAAUUAGGCCCAACGUUUCUUUGAAGUUAAUUAAAAUGAUAAUAUCCCUCUUUCAUUCUUAUGGUUCACUGUAGUGUUCAAAAUGCCUUUUUCUCAUCUUCUAUUUAUAAUUAUGUCAUAUGGCUAUAUCAUAUAUUCUUGGCAAUUAGAUAGUGGUAUACUUAUUUCUGGGAUAACAAAUUUCAAACUAAAUGUUUUUCUUUUAAGAUUCAUGUCUUUGUCUUUUUUCAUGUAUAUUAUUAAUGUGAUAAGAUUUUUGACAAUAAGGAAAAAGUAACUGAAGAAAUUACACUAAUGCUUAUUUUUUAAAUUAAUACUAAUGUAUAUGGGCAUAUUUCAAAGCUUUAGUGUGUUUGAAGAGAUGGGAAAAUAUUGUUUUUAUUUAUUUCAAACUAAUUUAUUUUUGGUUUUCUUAACAACAACAAAAGUAAAUGGUCAAAUAAAUAAAAACAAACCCCCAAGAACAUUCACCUGAAGUGUAACCACGGAAGUGCACUGGAAGCUGAGUGCUCUGGUGGAGAAUGGACAGGGCUCCAUGCCCCGUCACCUCUGGAGCAGCUUCUCCACAUCUCAUAGGCCUGGGAAGGUCUCCUUCACACUGAAGAAGGUGUCUUCUGCACAUAGAGAUUUCCUUUUUAUGUACUGGGCUGUUGAAUUUUAUAGAUUUAACACUCUUAAUGUUAUUGAUACCUGAGUAGCAGCACACCAUGUAAGUUUCGGUAGAAAUUCAGGUUUAAAUUGAGUAUGUUCAGAGACCAUUCUGUCAGAGCCCAUCACUUGGCCAGUGGGAGAACCCAGCAUACGUAUUUCAGAAAGCUCAUUGUGAGUGGGUAAUACCUAAAGAAGUGAUGAAAUAGAAAACCAUUUAGUUCAAAGAACGCAACUGCUGGAAAUGACAUUAAAAUAAAGAACCACAACAUAUCUAAGCAUGUAAUUAUUCUUCACUAGAAGCAGAAGUUUAGGAUAUGUUAGAAUCUGGAAUGUAAUGUUCUAGUGUUCAGGCUUGAUGGUAAAUGCACAGGGUGGUCUUUAUAUUACUGAGUGAACAAAUAAAAAUGAUGUAGGGCAAUUAAAUCACGACAACCAAAGAUUAUUUCUAACUUGCUUACUUUGAGGCAAGACCUUAAUUUCCCACUUUCAAGUGGUCCACCUAUCUGCUUGUACCUAAGAGCAUAGAAACUUUCCUAUUCAGUGCGGGGAAAACUUUCUUGAAUGUUGAAAACAUGACUUUCUUGUUGGCUAAUAAAUAUAAAUGGAAAACAUCUUACUUUCAAUAAAAAAUGUUCUUUUUUAGAAAAUCAUUACUGUUUAUGGUAACAAUUUAUCUGAAGUAGCUGUACUGAAAUGACUUGACUGUCUAGCUUGUGUUUAUGAUGAGACCUAUUCAUUUUGAGCAUUUUAGGAAGGUUUUUCUAAGUAACAGAUAGCUUGCAGUGGGGGCCAUCAGCUGGCCACAUUGUGCAGAAGUGCUGAGUGAAGAACUUUGGAGGAGAAGGGAGAAGUCAACCCUUGUUUGCCAGAGAGGACAGAAAGAAGAGAAUUUCUUCUCAAAUGCUCUCUCUCAGGAAGAAGAGUCAGACCCAGGGUUCAGGCUCUUGAGGAUUUCUGCUCACUGGUAGGACUACUUGCCUAUCUCAGCCUUUCCUAAGAAACACACAUGAUUAGCUGUGUCCCUGACACAUCUUCAUCCAAAAAUGACAUCUAUCGGUUGUGAUUUUCAUUCAGAAAUAACUUUCUUCUGGAAUGCCUCUUAUGUUUAGUUUAUUACUGUGCUCUGCUUUCUAAGUAUUAUUUCCUCAUAGUUUGCACUCUAGUUUCAUUUGCCUUUUCUGCCAACUUUGAUGGAGGCCCCUAGGAUGAUAGGAAAAGGCAG